rnacentral:rRNA from 1 species
CCUACGGGAGGCAGCAGUGGGGAAUAUUGGGCAAUGGGCGCAAGCCUGACCCAGCAACGCCGCGUGAAGGAAGAAGGCUUUCGGGUUGUAAACUUCUUUUCUCAGGGACGAAGAAAGUGACGGUACCUGCGGAAUAAGCCCCGGCUAACUACAUGCCAGCAGCCGCGGUAAUACGUAGGUGGCAAUCGUUAUCCGGAUUUACUGGGUGUAAAGGGCGUGUAGGCGGGACUGCAAGUCAGAUGUGAAAACCACGGGCUCAACCUGCGGCGUGCAUUUGAAACUGUAGUUCUUGAGUACUGGAGAGGCAGACGGAAUUCCUAGUGUAGCGGUGAAAUGCGUAGAUAUUAGGAAGAACACCAGUGGCGAAGGCGGUAUGCUGGACAGCAUCUGACGCUGAGGCGCGAAAGCGUGGGGAGCGAACAGGAUUAGAUACCCGUGUAGUC